GGCUGGCUCGCUCAGCUGGUUAGAGCAUGGUGCUAAUAACGCCAAGGUGGUGGGUUCAAGCCCCAUGCUGGCCA
rnacentral:tRNA from 1 species